GGGCUAUUGGCGCAGGCAGGUAGCGCGGCAGGCUCUUAACCUGAAGGUCGGGGGUUCGAUUCUUCUGUCCA
rnacentral:tRNA from 1 species